rnacentral:rRNA from 1 species
AUCAGGCCUAACACAUGCAAGUCGAACGCCCUUUUCGGAGGGAGUGGCAGACGGGUGAGUAACGCGUGGGAAUCUACCCAGCUCUACGGAACAACUCGAGGAAACUUGAGCUAAUACCGUAUACGCCCUUUUGGGGAAAGAUUUAUCGGAGUUGGAUGAGCCCGCGUUUGAUUAGCUAGUUGGUGGGGUAAAGGCCUACCAAGGCGACGAUCAAUAGCUGGUCUGAGAGGAUGAUCAGCCACAUUGGGACUGAGACACGGCCCAAACUCCUACGGGAGGCAGCAGUGGGGAAUAUUGGACAAUGGGCGCAAGCCUGAUCCAGCCAUGCCGCGUGAGUGAUGAAGGCCCUAGGGUUGUAAAGCUCUUUCAACGGUGAAGAUAAUGACGGUAACCGUAGAAGAAGCCCCGGCUAACUUCGUGCCAGCAGCCGCGGUAAUACGAAGGGGGCUAGCGUUGUUCGGAUUUACUGGGCGUAAAGCGCACGUAGGCGGAUCGUUAAGUGAGGGGUGAAAUCCCAGGGCUCAACCCUGGAACUGCCUUUCAUACUGGCGAUCUGGAGUUCGAGAGAGGUGAGUGGAAUUCCGAGUGUAGAGGUGAAAUUCGUAGAUAUUCGGAGGAACACCAGUGGCGAAGGCGGCUCACUGGCUCGA